AGUUCAGAAGUCUGUAGUUUAAUUAACAGAUUUUUUUUACGAGCUUAUCAGCAUGGAAACAUUUCCUCUGGAGUGGUGGCCGGGGCAUGGAGGGACAUGCGAAUGUUUAUCAUAUCUGGCAUGUAGGUACCUUGCGAUGCCGGCUGCAGAGGUCUCAUGCAAAUGCCUGUUCUCACUUUCUAGUGAUAUUGUAAAUAAGUGGACAGAAUUAUCUCCUGUAAAGGUAAACAAAGUUGUUUGUUUAACGAUUGACUGAACAAAAA